rnacentral:rRNA from 1 species
UACGAAGGGGGCUAGCGUUGCUCGGAUUGACUGGGCGUAAAGGGCGCGUAGGCGGAUAGUACAGUCAGGCGUGAAAUUCCUGGGCUCAACCUGGGGGCUGCGUUUGAUACGUAUUGUCUGGAGUUCAGAAGAGGGUCGUGGAAUUCCCAGUGUAGAGGUGAAAUUCGUAGAUAUUGGGAAGAACACCGGUGGCGAAGGCGGCGACCUGGUCCGAUACUGACGCUGAGGCGCGAAAGCGUGGGGAGCAAACAGG